rnacentral:piRNA from 1 species
GAUCUGAGUUUGCUGGAGGAAGGGA